rnacentral:lncRNA from 1 species
CUAGAGCAGGAAGCUGAAGACCGGGAGUAUGUGCAUGCUGAACUCAGCGAGGAAAUCAGGUCCUUAGAGAUGUCUCAGAGGCAUCUGGAAGCUACUCUCGCUCAUAAGGAUGAUAGAAUCAGGGUAAGUUACCAUGGCUAACCCAGCCUGUUCAUGAACACUCGGGAAACAAACUCACUGUGAGGAUGGAGAGGCUCUUAACUGCCUCUCACUUCUCUGCUAGGCUCUGACCAACUGCAUCAUACAGCUGAAUCAGUUUGAGAGUGGAUCUGAAUCUGAGGGUCCAGGUCCAGGCAGAUGUGAGCCAGGUGAAUUAGCCAAUGGAGAAGUGGGAGGUGAGGAGAGUAAGCUGAAGACUGGCAUGAACCAGCUGAUGGAUGUCUCUGGGACACAAGCCAAAAUAUCCGUGCUUCGGGAGGAACUCAAACUCCUGCAAGUUAAGCCGAAAGCCUCCCUGUCUGCUAACUAUGACCUGAAAGACCAGAUCAAGAAGCUGAAUGAGGACUGUGGCAUGCUGCAGGCAGCCAAGGCUGGGCUGGAGGAGGAGUGUAGGAUGCUGCAGCAGAAGGUGGAGAUCCUGAAGGAGCUGUACCAAGAGAACGAGAUGGAGCUGCAGAAGAAACUGAUUCAGGAGGAAUUGGAGCUGCAGGAGCGAGACCAGUGGCUGUCGGCUCCAGAUGAGAAGGUGGUGCUGGCCACAGAGGAAGUCAAAGUCUACAAGCAGAGAAUUCAUGAAAUCGAGCAAGAAUUAGAGAAAACAGAGCGCUCAUUUAAAAACCAGCUUGCUAUUCAUGAGGAGAAAGCCCACGAGAAUUUGGUCAAAGCCUGGCACACCGAGCGCCUAAUUGCAAAGGAGAAGCGGGAGGCCACCAGCCUGCGGCACAGGCUCCUGGAGAUGACCGAGAAGCUGGCCAUGAGUCAAGAGGAGCCAGUGAUUGGCAAGCCGAUGCCGGACCAGCCAGGAGUGCAGAAUGCGCCCCGCAGAGAUCCCGGUCCUGGGCCUGUGGCCAACAGUGACUCCCGCGGCUCCUCCCUGGCAAAGGGCAUGGACAACGGCAAGCUGCAGCUCUGCAGACUCUCAGCAUGA